rnacentral:lncRNA from 10 species
AAAACACAACCUCUUUUGAGUAUGAGUACAAACGAAUAAAGGGAGAUGAGCAGCAGCAGGGCAUUGUAAUUAGGUUUGCCACAUGGGUAUAUUACCUAAGGCUGCAGUUUAGGCUUCUAAUAUACCCGUCACCCAAGUUGUGAACAUAGUACCCGAUUCUGCUUGAUGUGGAAAAGUGUCCAGAAUUGGCUACAUCUGAAGAGCUGUUACAGCUGUGUUGGAUAUUGCUGAAAAUUCCUAAGGAUGACUCAGAUGACAAAUUAUAUUUGAUAGAGAGUCUAGUGGGAUUUGCAGAGUGGAGCUUCAACCCUGAGAAUGAUUAAGUUAACUGAAGACUCAACAGGGAACGCCUGAGCUGCUUCACGAUGUGGCAUCCCAGUUUCUGUGUCACCCCUGUGGUAAAUUUAUAAAGUAAUCACACUAUUCAGGAAUGAG